rnacentral:rRNA from 1 species
GACGAACGCUGGCGGCGUGCUUAACACAUGCAAGUCGAACGGAAAGGCCCUGCUUUUGUGGGGUGCUCGAGUGGCGAACGGGUGAGUAACACGUGAGUAACCUGCCCUUGACUUUGGGAUAACUUCAGGAAACUGGGGCUAAUACCGGAUAGGAGCUCCUGCUGCAUGGUGGGGGUUGGAAAGUUUCGGCGGUUGGGGAUGGACUCGCGGCUUAUCAGCUUGUUGGUGGGGUAGUGGCUUACCAAGGCUUUGACGGGUAGCCGGCCUGAGAGGGUGACCGGCCACAUUGGGACUGAGAUACGGCCCAGACUCCUACGGGAGGCAGCAGUGGGGAAUAUUGCACAAUGGGCGGAAGCCUGAUGCAGCAACGCCGCGUGCGGGAUGACGGCCUUCGGGUUGUAAACCGCUUUCGCCUGUGACGAAGCGUGAGUGACGGUAAUGGGUAAAGAAGCACCGGCUAACUACGUGCCAGCAGCCGCGGUGAUACGUAGGGUGCGAGCGUUGUCCGGAUUUAUUGGGCGUAAAGGGCUCGUAGGUGGUUGAUCGCGUCGGAAGUGUAAUCUUGGGGCUUAACCCUGAGCGUGCUUUCGAUACGGGUUGACUUGAGGAAGGUAGGGGAGAAUGGAAUUCCUGGUGGAGCGGUGGAAUGCGCAGAUAUCAGGAGGAACACCAGUGGCGAAGGCGGUUCUCUGGGCCUUUCCUGACGCUGAGGAGCGAAAGCGUGGGGAGCGAACAGGCUUAGAUACCCUGGUAGUCCACGCUGUAAACGGUGGGUACUAGGUGUGGGGUCCAUUCCACGGGUUCCGUGCCGUAGCUAACGCUUUAAGUACCCCGCCUGGGGAGUACGGCCGCAAGGCUAAAACUCAAAGGAAUUGACGGGGCCCCGCACAAGCGGCGGAGCAUGCGGAUUAAUUCGAUGCAACGCGUAGAACCUUACCUGGGUUUGACAUGGAUCGGGAGCGCUCAGAGAUGGGUGUGCCUCUUUUGGGGUCGGUUCACAGGUGGUGCAUGGCUGUCGUCAGCUCGUGUCGUGAGAUGUUGGGUUAAGUCCCGCAACGAGCGCAACCCUUGUUCACUGUUGCCAGCACGUUAUGGUGGGGACUCAGUGGAGACCGCCGGGGUCAACUCGGAGGAAGAUGGGGAUGACGUCAAGUCAUCAUGCCCCUUAUGUCCAGGGCUUCACGCAUGCUACAAUGGCUGGUACAGAGAGUGGCGAGCCUGUGAGGGUGAGCGAAUCUCGGAAAGCCGGUCUCAGUUCGGAUUGGGGUCUGCAACUCGACCUCAUGAAGUCGGAGUCGCUAGUAAUCGCAGAUCAGCAACGCUGCGGUGAAUACGUUCCUGGG